GACGAACGCUGGCGGCGUGCUUAACACAUGCAAGUCGAACGGCAAGGCCCUGCUUUUUUGGUCUGCUCGAGUGGCGAACGGGUGAGUAACACGUGAGUAACCUGCCCUUCACUUUGGUAUAACUUCACGAAACUGUGGCUACUACCGGAUCGGAGCUCCUGCUGCAUUGUGGGGGUUGGAUCUUCUAGGCGGGUGGGGUUGGAACCGCGGCUUAGCAGCUCGUUGGUGGGGUAGUGGAUUACCAAGGCUUUGACGGGUAGCCGGCCUGUGAGUGUGACAGGCCACAGUGGGACAGAGAUAGGGGCCAGGGUGAUACGGGGGGCAGCAGUGGAGGACAGUGCACAAUGGGCGGAAGAGUGAUGCAGGAACGCCGCGUGCGGGAUGACGGCUGUAGGGUUGGAAAACGAUUUGGCUUGUGACGAAGCGUGAGUGAGGGUAAUAGGUAAAGAAGCACCGGCUAACUACGU
rnacentral:rRNA from 1 species